rnacentral:rRNA from 1 species
UACGUAGGGGGCUAGCGUUGUCCGGAAUCAUUGGGCGUAAAGAGCGUGUAGGCGGCCCGGUAAGUCCGCUGUGAAAGUCCAGGGCUCAACCCUGGGAUGCCGGUGGAUACUGUCGGGCUCGAGUCCGGAAGAGGCGAGUGGAAUUCCUGGUGUAGCGGUGAAAUGCGCAGAUAUCAGGAGGAACACCGAUGGCGAAGGCAGCUCGCUGGGACGGUGACUGACGCUGAGACGCGAAAGCGUGGGGAGCAAACAGG